UACCUACGGGAGGCAGCAGUCGGGAAUAUUGCGCAAUGGAGGAAACUCUGACGCAGUGACGCCGCGUAUAGGAAGAAGUUUUUCGGAAUGUAAACUAUUGUCGUUAGGGAAGAGAAAGGACAGUACCUAAGGAGGAAGCUCCGGCUAACUACGUGCCAGCAGCCGCGGUAAUACGUAGGGGGCAAGCGUUAUCCGGAUUUACUGGGUGUAAAGGGAGCGUAGACGGCAGUGCAAGUCCGGAGUGAAAGCCCGGGGCUCAACCCUGGGACUGCUCUGGAAACUGUAAAGCUGGAGUGCGGGAGGGG
rnacentral:rRNA from 1 species